GCCUGUCUUCCGUUUGGCUUCCUGAACAGAUUUCUGAUCUCUGCUGUUGGCUUGUUUGCAGUUUUAUCUCUGGCUUUUUCUUUUGCUGCUCCUGAUGGUAAUGAAAGGCCUGAGAACCAGAAAUUUCUGCAGUAGCAGAAGAGAAUUAUGUGGGAGAAUCUAAAGCUUCUUGAUCUUGUGGCCAUAAUUGGAUGCAAGAAUGCUAAUGAACAAUGACACUAAUACAAAGUGUUCUUGGAGACCUGGGACAAAACUGCUCUUGUUCCAGGAUCAUUUGACUGGACGGUCCAGAGGAGCUUGCGUGUGCUGGUGUCUGAGGUCUCCAUACCGGGAUGAGUUUCUGCAGAUCCCUCAGGGAUGAUCCUCUGGCCUGCUCUAUUCUGCAACUGGUAAUGGAAGCUUCCUGUGGAAGUGCUUCAUGCCACAGUCCUGUGUGGUUUCCCAUGUCUCUGUUUCGAAGUUCAAGGCUUGAGGACAUGCAGUGAAAGGUAAUUAUUGGUCCUGUUUUUUAAUAUCGUCUUCAGGUCAGUGGGAGUUAUGGGAACAAUCUUGUUCUCUGCCUUUGUGCUGUAGAGCAAGGACUUAUGAAAGGAAGAUUGACUUAGCUGAUUGUUUCCAUGUACUUCAGACUUCUGGUGUAAGCCACAUGGAACUUGUAAGGUAUCCAAACCCCAUGUGACAGCUUUGUCCUGUAUUGGGAAACUGAUUUGUAAAAA